rnacentral:rRNA from 1 species
AGUGAACGCUGGCGGUAGGCCUAACACAUGCAAGUCGAACGGCAGCACAGUAAGAGCUUGCUCUUACGGGUGGCGAGUGGCGGACGGGUGAGGAAUACAUCGGAAUCUACUUUUUCUUGGGUGAUAACGUAGGGAAACUUACGCUAAUAGCGCAUACGACCUACGGGUGAAAUCAGGGGAUCUUCGGACCUUGCGCGAUUGAAUGAGCCGAUGUCGGAUUAGCUAGUUGGCGGGGUAAAGGCCCACCAAGGCGACGAUCCGUAGCUGGUCUGAGAGGAUGAUCAGCCACACUGGAACUGAGACACGGUCCAGACUCCUACGGGAGGCAGCAGUGGGGAAUAUUGGACAAUGGGCGAAAGCCUGAUCCAGCCAUACCGCGUGGGUGAAGAAGGCCUUCGGGUUGUAAAGCCCUUUUGUUGGGAAAGAAAAGCAGCAGGUUAAUACCCCGCUGUUCUGACGGUACCCAAAGAAUAAGCACCGGCUAACUUCGUG